rnacentral:rRNA from 1 species
CAGUCGCCACGGGAACACGUAGGGUGCAAGCGUUAAUCGGAAUUACUGGCCGUAAAGCGUGCGCAGGCGGUUAUAUAAGUCAGAUGUGAAAUCCCCGGGCUCAACCUGGGAACUGCAUUUGAGACUGUAUGGCUAGAGUGUGUCAGAGGGGGAUAGAAUUCCACGUGUAGCAGUGAAAUGCGUAGAUAUGUGGAGGAAUACCGAUGGCGAAGGCAGCCCCCUGGGAUAACACUGACGCUCAUGCACGAAAGCGUGGGGAGCAAACAGGAUUAGAUACCCGGGUAGUCCCUGUCUCUUAUAC